rnacentral:rRNA from 1 species
UAAAGAAUUUCGGUCAUCGAUGGGGAUGCGUUCCAUUAGCUUGUUGGCGGGGUAACGGCCCACCAAGGCAUCGAUGGAUAGGGGUUCUGAGAGGAAGGUCCCCCACAUUGGAACUGAGACACGGUCCAAACUCCUACGGGAGGCAGCAGUGAGGAAUAUUGGUCAAUGGGCGCUAGCCUGAACCAGCCAAGUAGCGUGAAGGAUGACUGCCCUAUGGGUUGUAAACUUCUUUUAUAUGGGAAUAAAGUGCAGUAUGUAUACUGCUUUGCAUGUACCUUAUGAAUAAGGAUCGGCUAACUCCGUGCCAGCAGCCGCGGUAAUACGGAGGAUCCGAGCGUUAUCCGGAUUUAUUGGGUUUAAAGGGAGCGUAGGCGGGUUGUUAAGUCAGUUGUGAAAGUUUGCGGCUCAACCGUAAAAUUGCAGUUGAUACUGGCAUCCUUGAGUACAGUAGAGGUAGGCGGAAUUCGUGGUGUAGCGGUGAAAUGCUUAGAUAUCACGAAGAACUCCGAUUGCGAAGACAGCCUGCUGGACUGUAACUGACGCUGAUGCUCGAAAGUGUGGGUAUCAAACAGGAUUAGAUACCCUGGUAGUCCACACAGUAAACGAUGAAUACUCGC